CGGAAGGAAAAGUCAGGGAAAGACGAAUGCAUCAGAAAGCGAUGAAGAUGAUGAUGGACGAAGAUGGACGAAGAUGGAUGAUGAUUCAAUGCUUAUUGAGUCGUCUGAAUACGUACUUGCACGCCUUCCAGCUGAUGGUGUUGGAGUUGACUGUCCUCACGUGGAGAGAAGAUUGAACGUCUUGUCUGUUGAGGUACAUCUCUACAUACUGAGUGAAACAUGGAUCAUACCCUCCUGGGAUUCUCAUCGUCCUCGAACUGUAUCCAUUCACCUGCAACAAUCGCAUUUCCGGGCCGACUAUAAUCAGGAUUCACAUAGACUGAGCGAAUGACUUGACUGUAUCCAACAUGUGGUUGAUGAGAUGAGUCGACCGUGUGCGUUUGUGAUUGCGUUGGUUACCUUGGUGAGCGGCUCGAAGUGGCUUUCACUUCUGUGAGACAGAGAAGAAGAUGCUGAGGAGGAGGUGAGGAGACAUGUCGGGGCGUAGAUGUUGUAGAUGUCGAUCUCUUGCUGGUAGGUCGUGAACACGGUGUUCAUGCCCUCGUUGCACUCGUCAGACCAGUCGGAGACUGUGAAAUUGCAGGCUCGCUUGCAUUUGUGGUAGAGUUGGUCCGAGAUCACAGCGUGGCUCCAUGCAUACUCGAGCACGGCCUUGUAGUCAUAGUAGUCAUUCGUUUCUGGAUUCCCUACCUGCAACUUGACUAGUUAAUUUCGUAUUGCUACACUCAAUAUUGCUUCUUCUUUUUUUCUGGAUUAUUGAUUCGUUAUAUGUCAUCAGUAGGCUCACAAGUUAAGACGACCGCGAGAGAUUAAGACGCUGUUGCUUUUAUUGGGUGAUUGAAUAUGACUGUAAUGCAAUUUCUUCUUUGCCAUUGUUGAUAAGCAGUCACGAAAGAGAUUAACAAAAUCGAAAAUGAAAGUUGAAUAACAAAAUCAAAAUGUCGGGAUCGGAAUCAUCGAUUUCUUGGGACAGGGUUCGAGGCUUGUUGAGUAACUCACAAUGAAGCCUUUAAGGUUGAUUGGUGUGUACUUAGCCGUUUCUUUAUUCCUGUCAUAGAUCAGCUCAGCUAGCUGAGGAACAUAGUGACCUGCGAAAGUAACAAAGAAAUGUCUGAACCAAGCUUGGCAUAAGUGAGAGAGAGAGACAGAGAGAGAGAGAGAGAGAGAGAGAGAGAGAGAGAGACCUGCAUAGCUUUCUCCAGCAAGGAAGCAAUCAUGGGUCUUGAACUGUGGGAACUUUUGAAGCCAAUUCACUAAGAAGCUGUAUGCAUCUUCGGCUGAGAAUAAUUCAAGCACUCUCCUUCAUCAGUCAUGAAGUUCAUUUCAAGAGCAACGGCUGAACUGAAAGAAAAGUAGAUAUUUACCAACAAAGGCAUCAUCCAGCAUGGACAGAUCAGAAGAUGUGUCGGUGUAAGAGAACCCGACUCCAACUGGCGACUCCACGAACAGCAGAUUCGCUUCUGCAGCACGAAGUCAACAGCUCGUCAAGUUCCUCUAUUUUUCUUAGCUUUUUCUAUCUCUUUUGUUUUUUUAUGCAAAGGCCAAUUAUGACUGGGUUGCUUCGUCAAAAAAGAAGGAAAGACCUUGAUUCCAAGCAUGUUUGUUGUAGAGAAGGCCAGUCCCGUUGGUGUCUACUCUGAGGGGCCCCAAUUCAACGGCAGCGCCGUACCCAACCGAUGAACAACCAGGCCCUUCACAAAUCAAUUGUCAAACAGAAGAGCGAAAAAACCAUCAACAAUCAAGCAUUCUUGUUUCCAUUAUCAAUUAGUGCAAAUAUUGCACGUUUCUACCUCCAUUGAACCAGAGAAGAAGAGGUCUCUGUGAAGGUUGAGACUGGGCCUCAAAGAACCAGUAGAAGAGGGCCCUCCCAUGGGCCUCAUUUACUGUGAUAUAGCCUGAGAAGUGAGAGAUGGAGGGGGUUGAGGGCUGCCCUGGGAGAUUUAUGACCCUGUCUGAUUCUGAGUCCUGAGAUAAUACCCCUUCCCCUUCCGGUGGGAGUGCCUGCUUCUGCUGUUGCUGCUGCUGCUGCUCUGUUUCUUGGGGUGUUUUGAUGCAGGUGGUGGUCAAGGGGCUGCUCAGGAAGACUAGGAGGUGGAUGGACAAUAGAAUGAGGGUGUUGAUUGAGGAUAGCGAUGCCAUCUCUCUUGUCCCCAAGAAACCUUAGGAUGGACCAGGAUGUGUCCAGGAGGCCCCCUUUAAAUAAUUGAGAGAGAGAGAGAGAGAGAGAGAGACGCAUUACCGUUGUAUGUCGAUAACAUAAUGGACUGUCUUUCACCAAGGUCAUCAAUUUGUGGAGAAAGUCCAAGGUACAUGAAAAAUCUCUUGGCUAAGUAUUAUGUUCUCUUUUGCCCACAAAAAAAUCUCGUAUUUUUUUUUUUUUCAAAAUCCGAUUCCAAGAAGAAUUAAGUAGGUUUGCGAGUUCAAAAUUUGGAACCAAUCAAGUUCAAUUUGAUUGUCAAAUUGAGCCUUGAACCUACAAGUUACACUUGAAAAUCAAGUCGAUUUGAUCAGUACUCGACGAAGAUGAGCUUCUUGGCACGGGCCGGCGACCGGAGCACAGUGGCGGGGUAGAGGGCGCCACGGAGGCCAGGGGCAGAGGAUCUCGACGGCGUCGUCCUUGGCGAAGGAGGAGGGGAGGGGCGGCAUUGCGGGGUCGUGCCCUAGAAGGAGAGAAUCUGGGUGCGAAGGAGAUGGUGUUGGGGAGGAAGUGAAUGCUGACCCAGAUGAUCGAGAGAGAGAGAGAGAGAGAGAGCGCGAAAUGGCGGUGUUGGGUUUGGGCGGGGUGGUGCCAAAACGGGUUAAUUAGAGAGGAGGUAUAAUCUUGCUUGCUUUUUUGGCUAUACCAAAGGGGCCCCACCCCCUCUUGCUUUUGUCUUUUUUUAACCUUUUGUUGAGUUGGGCAAUUUUGAAAAAAGAAACUACGUAGAUGAUCACUUCACUUCAUUUUAAGGUGUAAUGCGGUUUCUUUCUAAUUUGUUAGACGUGGUCCCUGCCUGAACUUUUAUAUUGUUGCUAUAUGAAGAUAUUCGAUUUUGACCCUCAACUUAAAUUAGUUGAAAGAUAAAUAAAUCUUAAUACGGGGUGAUUGGUUGUAGAUGUAAUGUGAUUGGUUUCGUGUAAUUAAAAGUGUGGUUGAGAGCAUGGAAUAGGCAACACUUUUUUCCAUAUUUGAUGAAGGUUGGUUGGGUUGAGUAUUUUGAUAUGGUGACGUUUUGAAAAGUCUUCCGGUGUUUUGAGUUAGAUAAAAUUGACGAUGCGAGUUUUUGCAAAAUUUUUGAAACAGUCAAAGGUAAGAAGUGGAGAUCACCUAAUGUAGAAAACUGGCAUUAAGAUAUUUAUUAGGAUGAGCCAUUAAUGUUUGUUUUCUGUAAUGGGCCUGAGUGAAUUUCUUCAAACUUUCCACACCAUGUAAAAUAUAAAUAUAGAUAUCUUCGUAUAAGAUAUUACAUAGAGGCAACCGAGGUUUAUGUCGCAUCAAAAACCAUCCUUGCCCUACGACGUGGAUGUUCCCAUGGAACGAGGACCUCGCUUGGUCCAUUCAAGUCCAAUUCCUAAGAGAAUUGGGUAGGUUCGUGAGUUCAAAAUUCAGAAACCAAUCAAGUUUAAUUCAAUUUGUAGGUUGGGACUUAAAUUUAUUGGUCAUACAAAAGAACUUAAUCUAUUAGAAAUAUAUAUCGCAUUUUUGAUAAGUUAGUAAAAAAAAGAAAAAAAGAACUCACAAGGACAACAUCUGAACUAAAAAAAAGGGAUAUCUAAUUUUCAAUACAUUCAAAAUUAAAAAGAAAUGAGGGAUAAUUUUCCGAUUCUAUAUGGCAAUUGGAAGGCUCAGCUCCAGGUCGAUCUUGGGAUAUGCUUAGGGGUGUGCAACUGAACAGGGUAAACCCGGUUCCCGGACCGGCCCACCCGGAAAACAGGGUCGGGAACCAGUUCCCGUUGAACCAGUUCCCGUUGAAAUCGGUCCGGGAACCGGUUCCCAAAAGUCAGAACCGGUUUGAACCGGUCCGGGAACCGGUUCCGAGGGAUUACCCACCCGGGAACCGGAUCGACCGGACCGGUUCGGGAACCGGUUUGAGAACCGGAUUGUACGCCUUCUUGUCGACCUUGCGGCUUCACUGGUUGCUGGUGUCGCGAGGAGCCAAGGGGCGGUGCUGGUGCAGUGGCGGCUUCACAGGGGCAAGGGCGACGGCGACGAAGCUUCGGGCGGUCAGAGGUGUCGGGUCGUCGCGGCCACAGCAGGGGCGACGAGUGGCGGUGCGAGCUCGCGGGUGAGGGGGCUCCGGCGGUGGCGCGGUGGUGCGGCCGCGGCGACGCAGGCGCAGCGGUCGGCGGCUAUGGCGUGCGGAGGGAGCCCGUGAAGAAGAUGAACAGUACACUGUUCUAUUUCUUCUUUUUUCUUUUCUCCCUGCCGGCUUGUCACGUCUCCCUCACGUCCCUCUCCACGCUGCCCACGUCUCCUCUGCCUCCUGACAUUGACCUUGACUCUCAAGCUUUUCCUCCCUUUUUUUUUUCGUGUUUCUUUUUUCCAAGGACCGAAGAAGGCCCCCUGCCGAGUGAUCCACAAGGAAAAACCCCGAGUAGAGUUGCUAAAUUAUCGCGACUUAAUCUCGAGUGAACAACUUAGGAUUUGAUUAAUAUAUACGAAAUGAGGUAGAAAUUUAUUUAUUAAUAAUGCUUAAUAUUUCAAUAUAAAUUAGAAGAAUUAUGUUGUUUUUUCAUGUAUUAAAAUAAAAUUCAAAAUCGUAUAGAUGGACGGUUGCAAAAUAGGUUCUAAUAUAAACAGGGACAACCCUGUUCCCGGACCGGAAAAACAGGGUGGACCGGGAACAGGGUUCAAUGAAAACAGGGUAGGGAACAGGGUUCAAAAAAGGAGAACUGAUUAUAACAGGGUAGGGAACAUGGUCCAGAUCUAGACCCUACCCACCCUGGACCCGCUCACCCCUAGGUAAGCUAGUUUGUAGCAGAACCACGUGGACCACGUUCACCGCUUAAAUUAUUACACUAUUAUGUCAUGUACCAUUUUAUUUGUGAACUACAAAUGUGAAUAGAAACAUAAGGAAUAAAGGGCUUUAGCUCUUUUGACUUUUUUAAGACUGUUUUUAGAAUGAUAUCUGUAAAGUAUUUUGGCGUUUGCUUCUCAUAUACAUAUAGUUAAAGUAAACGUGAAUUUGAUGGCAUAUUAGAGGAUGUAAAUCGCAACAAGUGGAUUUCAUAUAUAUAUAAAUUCCUUGUACCAUAAGCUCAAAUAAUAUCGUAAACUCACAUAAUAGUUUGUCCACGAAGAUUCGCCAGGCCUCAUACUCCUACAUAUGUUUGUGUUUUAUUUCGACAUGAUAUGAUGUUUAUGUCCAUCGUUGCAUCUAAAUCUUUUUAUUUUUACUUUUGUUGUCCAACUUCAAACAAAACAAAAACAGAAAAAGAAAAAAGACAGGUAAAAUAGACACUCUAAUCCCAUCUCAAUGCAAACGUAGAAAUUACCAUCACUUCCUUUCAAAAUAUAUGAAAAUCAGACACAUUUUAUUAUUUGUUUUAACUCUGUCCCUCAGGGAAAAUGAAAAAUAGCAGGAUAAAAAGAAUAAAUUUUUUUAUCUCUGCCUGCGGAGAUCUUGACCGGUCAAGAAAGAGUGAAGGAGAGCAAGGGCCUCACUGGGCUUGUCCAGAGGCACCAAGUGACCAGCACCUCUUACUGUUACUAAUGCCAAUCCCCCCUCAUAUUCCACUAUCCUCCCCGCAACCUGCCCAAAAAAAAAAUUUAUAAUUAUUAUUACUUUUUGCUCACUAAUCCCACUUUUUUUUAAUUAUAAUUACAGUAUUAAUUAAUCAUUUUUUCCUUAGAAAAGUAUGUGUUUAAAGUGAACGAAAAAGCAAAAUGAUAACGAUGUAAAAAGUUCAUAACUGCUAACCUGAUGAUCAUGGUACCACGAGCGCCAGGGCGAUUUAAUAGACAGCCCGAGAGCUUCUAUGCAGUACCUCGACCCGAUCACCGGCACUCUUCCAUCCGCGUCGCCGCUGUCUCCCGAAACCCAAACCCGAAGUCGAUCAAUAACAUUGAUAAAUUCUUUCUUGUUCUCUUCAUUAGGACUAUUCCCGACUCCGUAAUCAUAUAUAUGAUCGCGAGUUAUUUAGAUGCUGACUGUCAAAUUCCGCAAAAUACGUUGGUAGCAAUGUACUUGUAUUGAUACGAUCCAAUACGAGUGAUAACGAGAGCACGGUUUCUCGAGAGUUCAAUGAUAUAUUUUGUGUUCUUUAUCAUGUUAAUGAUACCAUCUACUUUGCAAGGAGGAAUUUAUCGAUGAAAUCUUUUUCCUCCGGUUAAAUAACCAGGAAAUGAGAGAGAAAACCAUGAAGCAAAUUGUGAUCUUACCUGUACACCCAUAUCUUGAGCCCACCCUUGAUGAGCUUGGUGUAGAUUGGCAGUACUGAGAAGACCGAGUAGCUAUACGUAUUUCCCAAGGAUUGACUUGGUGGAAACAAGAAGAACAGAUGCGGAAGGAAAAGUCAGGGAAAGACGAAUGCAUCAGAAAGCGAUGAAGAUGAUGAUGGACGAAGAUGGACGAAGAUGGAUGAUGAUUCAAUGCUUAUUGAGUCGUCUGAAUACGUACUUGCACGCCUUCCAGCUGAUGGUGUUGGAGUUGACUGUCCUCACGUGGAGAGAAGAUUGAACGUCUUGUCUGUUGAGGUACAUCUCUACAUACUGAGUGAAACAUGGAUCAUACCCUCCUGGGAU
rnacentral:lncRNA from 1 species